rnacentral:ribozyme from 1 species
CUUUUCUAUUUUUUUAAAGUAAUUCUUGGAUUGAUUGUUUAAAAAAAAAAAAAAAAAAAAACCAAUAA